rnacentral:misc_RNA from 1 species
AACCUAGCACACCUGCGGUGUGUACCUGCGGAGGGAUCAUUACCGAGUUUACAAACUCCCAACCCUUUGUGAACCUUACCAUAUUGUUGCUUCGGCGGGACCGCCCCGGCGCCUUCGGGCCCGGAACCAGGCGCCCGCCGGAGGCCCCAAACUCUUAUGCCUUUAGUGGUUUUCUCCUCUGAGUGACACAUAAACAAAUAAAUAAAAACUUUUAACAAUGGAUCUCAGAUCGGAAGAGCA